UACGUAGGGUGCAAGCGUUGUCCGGAAUUAUUGGGCGUAAAGAGCUCGUAGGCGGUGUGUCGCGUCGGCCGUGAAAACCUGCAGCUUAACUGUGGGCUUGCGGUCGAUACGGGCAUCACUGGAGUUCGGCAGGGGAGACUGGAAUUCCUGGUGUAGCGGUGAAAUGCGCAGAUAUCAGGAGGAACACCGGUGGCGAAGGCGGGUCUCUGGGCCGAUACUGACGCUGAGGCGCGAAAGCCAGGGGAGCGAACGGG
rnacentral:rRNA from 1 species